rnacentral:rRNA from 1 species
GACGAACGCUGGCGGCGUGCCUAAUACAUGCAAGUCGAGCGAAUGGAUUAAGAGCUUGCUCUAUGAAGUUAGCGGCGGACGGGUGAGUAACACGUGGGUAACCUGCCCAUAAGACUGGGAUAACUCCGGGAAACCGGGGCUAAUACCGGAUAACAUUUUGAACCGCGUGGUUCGAAAUUGAAAGGCGGCUUCGGCUGUCACUUAUGGAUGGACCCGCGUCGCAUUAGCUAGUUGGUGAGGUAACGGCUCACCAAGGCAACGAUGCGUAGCCGACCUGGGAGGGUGAUCGGCCACACGGGGACUGAGACACGGCCCAGACUCCUACGGGAGGCAGCAGUAGGGAAUCUUCCGCAAUGGACGAAAGUCUGACGGAGCAACGCCGCGUGAGUGAUGAAGGCUUUCGGGUCGUAAAACUCUGUUGUUAGGGAAGAACAAGUGCUAGUUGAAUAAGCUGGCACCUUGACGGUACCUAACCAGAAAGCCACGGCUAACUACGUGCCAGCCGCCGCAGUAA